rnacentral:rRNA from 1 species
UACGAAGGUGACAAGCGAUAUCCGGAAUUACUGGGCGUAAAGCGCACGCAGGUGGCUACUUAAGUCUGACGUGAAAGCUCCUGGAUUAACUGGGAGAGGUCGUUGGAAACUGAGUGGCUUGAGGCGAUGAGAGGGGUAUGGAAUUCCCGGUGUAGUGGUGGAAUGCGUAGCGAUCGGGAGGAACACCAGUGGCGAAAGCGAUACCCUGGCGUUAGCCUCACGCUCAUGUGCGAAAGCGUGGGGAGCGAACGGG